AUAUUUUCAGUUACUUUUUUUAUUUAUUUUACAUUUACUCACUGUUGCUGCCUGCACGUUUAUUUCAACUUCGGUGGUGUUUCGCAAUGUGCAGACUAAAAGCAUUAGAACUAAAACGACACACGAAUUACGAGUCGUCAUAGUACGUCCGGUUUAUUACCGUAGGUAUAAAAUUCUUCGCGAACUCCUUUCGGUUGUAUAGAAUUUUUACGUAAAUUUCGACUUACUCCUAUUAUCAAAAUGUCCAUGCAAGAGUGUAUCUUGUGUUCCUUGUUUGUCGUCUGCCGC